AUACGUAGGGGGCGAGCGUUGUCCGGAAUGAUUGGGCGUAAAGGGCGCGUAGGCGGCCCGGUAAGUCUGGAGUGAAAGUCCUGUUUUUAAGAUGGGAAUUGCUUUGGAUACUGUCGGGCUUGAGUGCCGGAGAGGUAAGUGGAAUUCCCAGUGUAGCGGUGCAAUGCGUAGAGAUUGGGAGGAACACCAGUGGCGAAGGCGACUUACUGGACUGUAACUGACGCUGAGGCGCGAAAGUGUGGGGAGCAAACAGGAUUAGAUACCCUGGUAGUCCACACUGUAAACGAUGAAUGCUAGGUGUAGGGGGUAUCGACCCCUUCUGUGCCGCAGUCAACACAAUAAGCAUUCCGCCUGGGGAGUACGGCCGCAAGGUUGAAACUCAAAUGAAUUGACGGGG
rnacentral:rRNA from 1 species